AAAACUGCUAAGGAAUAAAGGGAGAGCUUCCCCGAGUGAAAACCUGCCCCGUCCCAUGCUGGGUUUGCACACACACAAGGCUCAAUCCCUGCUGGAAUCCCAGUCACAGCCCCCAGAUCAAUGUGCACUUUAAGGUCUCACAGCCUGACCAGGACAAUCUCUUGCCUCUGGACAUGGAAAAUCAGUUUUUCAUUCUUACAGCACCAGCUCAAGGAUCCUCUGAGGCUGAAACAAAGACAAGGAACCUUUUGAGAUGGAAAGAGCCAGAGCAAGUUGUUGUGGGAAAGCAAAAUUAAAGAUGGUAAGUGCUAAAAUCUUUGUUCUUCCCUCGUCCUGACUGUACUUGGGAAUGGGUGAGCUGUGGAAAUUUCCUGGAGACACUGGAGACUGAUCCCUCGUCUGCUGGAAAGUGGGAAAAUCCCACUGGAUGCAGCCCCUGAAGGAGGGGACCUCAGUGUGUGAGUGUGUGAGAACUAAGGGAGGGACAAAUCUGUGGGUCACCCUGUGCCUCAGGGCACCAGGAAAAGCCCUUGACUGAAAAACCAAAGUGCUGUUCCAUAGGGAACCCCUGCACAGGCCCUGGGAAUUCUGCUCAUCCUGACUUUCCUUCCAGAGCAAGAACACCCACAGUGCUGUUUGAGACAUUCCUGACUGGAACUGGGCACUUUCCCAUUUUCCUGUAGGGUGUGGGCCAUGCCAAGGGAAUUGGUUCCAACAGGGCCCAAGGUCAGUGUGGGGUCUGUGGCAGGGACAACUCCCAGAGCCAGACAGGGAAGGGGACCUUCACCCACACUCCCAAAAAGCUGAGAAGGAAAAACACCUGCCUGCAGCUCCUGGAGCUCUGGGGUUUCUGGCACUCUCAGGGACAUGGGAUAAUGCCAGGACCAUUCAAACCUUGGGAAUAAUGGAGUUAAUACCACCCCUUGAGCCUGUUCCAGGCAGACUGCUGCCCAUUGGCCUCUGGUUGCAGAUGACUGUGGAAAUGAUGGAGACAUUCAGGAAAUGCUGAUUGUUUUUCCCUCACUUUGGCAAUCUAAUCAAUAAAAAUACUAAUUGAGCCCUUCCAGCAGGGAAACAUUUAAGCAAGAGGUGCUGAAAAGAACUGGAGUUUCUGAUUUUAAGUCUCCAACUUAAAAUCCCCUUUGAUUGUCACAGGUGCAACUUCCAUGGACUGGUCACCUUGGCCAGGAGUGUCCAAUUCUGCUGGAAAUGCACUGGACCAGGAUGUCAUCUCCAUUUUAUGCAGGUAAAGCCCCUCUGGGUGACCCCCAGUCACUGGAAGGGCCGGACUGGGCUCCCAGGGCACCAAUUCCAGUUUUUGGGAAUAGCACAGGAGCCUUUCCCUUGCCCAGAGGAGCAGCCAGUGCCUCCCUUAGUCCCGACAUCUCCAGGAUGGGUUGCAGAGAAAAUAACAGGAAUAUGGAAAUCCCCCACACUGGAAGUUCCAGAGUGGUGCUCUGGAUUACAUUUUGGAUUUAUAAUAUUAAAGGGGGGUGUGGAGUGACUUCUCUCCUUUCCACCGUCAUUGUUAUUGCUGCUCUUGUUGCUAUCACUGUUAUGUGUUAUCGUUAAUAUUAAAUUAUUAUAUUUUUCUUGGUUUCCAUUAUUAAAAUGUCCUGAACUGUGAA